AUUUAACGCUGGCGGCAGGCCUAACACAUGCAAGUCGAGCGGAGCGGCGGACGGGUGGGUCAUGCCUAGGAAUCUGCCUGGUAGUGGGGGCUAACGUCCGGAAACGGGCGCUAAUACCGCAUACUAUCAGAAGAGCCUAGGUCGGAUUAGCUAGUUGGUGGGGUAAAGGCCUACCAAGGCGAAGAUCCGUAACUUGUCUGAGAGGAGGAUCAGUCACACUGGAACUGAGCAACGGUCCAGACGCCUACGGGAGGCAGCAGUGGGGAAUAUUGGACAAUGGGCGAAAGCCUGAGCCAGCCAUGCCGCGUGUGUGAAGAAUGUCUUCGGAUUGUAAAGCACUUUAAGUUGGGAGGCGUUACCAACAGAAUAAGUACCGGCUAACUUCGUGCCAGCAGCCGCGGUAAUAC
rnacentral:rRNA from 1 species